UAUGGCCACAUCAAGUUGAAGCACCAGUUCCCAUACUAUCACUGAAGUUAAGCAAUGUUGAGCUUGGUCAGUAUCUAGAUGGGUGACUGCUUCAGAAUAUCAAGUGCUGUAAG